rnacentral:lncRNA from 1 species
AGAAGAACCCUAAUUGCAUACAAGCUGUUGAGAAAAAAUUCAGGUUUCUAUAGUUGGAAAAACCCGAAUUCAAUGGCUCUUUUGACCGUCGAAGAAGACCCAAAUCAAGAGAACAACUCAUCUGAAGACAAAGAAGAAGACAAAGAACAAAAACUCCAUUAGAGGAAGUUCAAGACCUUUUCUCCUCUCAUUCCAAUUCUCAGUCAUGUCCUCAACAAAUGCCUUCGUCUCAGCAUCAACAUCAGACGAAAGAACAAUAGCAAACUCUGAAGAUGAGAAGUUGACAUCAGUCUCCUAGGGAGCCCUGUUCUUGGCAAAGAGGUCUUCAGGAAGUCAAGCGGAUUCCUAGGCAUUGUUCCAUUCAUCAUCACCGGUGCUUUUGGACUUGGUGGAGUAGGUUUUAAGAUGGUGGCUAAUGGGUUUGAAACUGGUGGUUCUGAAUGCAUGAAGGCGAAUGUAUAUUUGUAGACGUUGCAGAGUCUGCAUGUUUCUUUUCUUGAUGCUUGGCUUUGUCACAAGACACACACCUCAUAAUCACUUUCCGGUUAUCCAGAUUCAAAUGUUCAUUAAGCAUUUUUCUUAAAUAAAUUAUGCAACUCCAUCAAAGAUGCUAGAUGCUCAAUGACAACUGAGUCCCAUAAAAUUUAG